rnacentral:rRNA from 1 species
GAGUUUGAUCGUGGCUCAGGAUGAACGCUGGCGGCGUGCCUAAUACAUGCAAGUCGAGCGAACAGACGGGGAGCUUGCUCCCCUGACGUUAGCGGCGGACGGGUGAGUAACACGUGGGUAACCUACCUAUAAGACUGGAAUAACUCCGGGAAACCGGGGCUAAUGCCGGAUAACAUGUUGGACCGCAUGGUCCUACAGGUGAAAGACGGUCUUGCUGUCACUUAUAGGUGGACCCGCGCCGUAUUAGCUAGUUGGUAAGGUAACGGCUUACCAAGGCAACGAUACGUAGCCGACCUGAGAGGGUGAUCGGCCACACUGGAACUGAGACACGGUCCAGACUCCUACGGGAGGCAGCAGUAGGGAAUCUUCCGCAAUGGGCGAAAGCCUGACGGAGCAACGCCGCGUGAGUGAUGAAGGCC